CUUGGUUUAGUGUUUUGGAGUCAAAUAUGAAAAGAUGUCAUGUGUAUGAUUGAGUACAAGAACUAGAACCGCAUUCGGUUCCC
rnacentral:sRNA from 1 species